GACGAACGCUGGCGGCGUGCUUAACACAUGCAAGUCGAACGGAAAGGCCUGCUUUCCCUUGUGGAUUGCGGGUGCUCGAGUGGCGAACGGGUGAGUAACACGUGAGUGAUCUGCCCCCAACUUGGGUAUAAGCCUGGGAAACUGGGUCUAAUUCCCGAUAGGACUGCAGGGUGGUGCCUGUGGUGGAAAACGAUUUUCUAGUGGUUGGGGAUGAGCUCGCGGCCUAUCAGCUUGUUGGUGGGGUAAUGGCCUACCAAGGCGGCGACGGGUAGCCGGCCUGGGAGGGUGGACGGCCACAUUGGGACUGAGAUACGGCCCAGACUCCUACGGGAGGCAGCAGUGGGGAAUAUUGCACAAUGGGCGGAAGCCUGAUGCAGCGACGCCGCGUGGGGGAUGACGGCCUUCGGGUUGUAAACUCCUUUCGACCGCGAGGAAGCCGCCUGGUUGGAAGGGUGGUGACGGUAGUGGUAGAAGAAGCACCGGCUAACUACGUG
rnacentral:rRNA from 1 species